rnacentral:rRNA from 1 species
UACAUGCAAGUCGAGCGGACAGAAGGGAGCUUGCUCCCGGAUGUUAGCGGCGGACGGGUGAGUAACACGUGGGUAACCUGCCUGUAAGACUGGGAUAACUCCGGGAAACCGGAGCUAAUACCGGAUAGUUCCUUGAACCGCAUGGUUCAAGGAUGAAAGACGGUUUCGGCUGUCACUUACAGAUGGACCCGCGGCGCAUUAGCUAGUUGGUGGGGUAAUGGCUCACCAAGGCGACGAUGCGUAGCCGACCUGAGAGGGUGAUCGGCCACACUGGGACUGAGACACGGCCCAGACUCCUACGGGAGGCAGCAGUAGGGAAUCUUCCGCAAUGGACGAAAGUCUGACGGAGCAACGCCGCGUGAGUGAUGAAGGUUUUCGGAUCGUAAAGCUCUGUUGUUAGGGAAGAACAAGUGCGAGAGUAACUGCUCGCACCUUGACGGUACCUAACCAGAAAGCCACGGCUAACUACGUGCCAGCAGCCGCGGUAAUACGUAGGUGGCAAGCGUUGUCCGGAAUUAUUGGGCGUAAAGGGCUCGCAGGCGGUUUCUUAAGUCUGAUGUGAAAGCCCCCGGCUCAACCGGGGAGGGUCAUUGGAAACUGGGAAACUUGAGUGCAGAAGAGGAGAGUGGAAUUCCACGUGUAGCGGUGAAAUGCGUAGAGAUGUGGAGGAACACCAGUGGCGAAGGCGACUCUCUGGUCUGUAACUGACGCUGAGGAGCGAAAGCGUGGGGAGCGAACAGGAUUAGAUACCCUGGUAGUCCACGCCGUAAACGAUGAGUGCUAAGUGUUAGGGGGUUUCCGCCCCUUAGUGCUGCAGCUAACGCAUUAAGCACUCCGCCUGGGGAGUACGGUCGCAAGACUGAAACUCAAAGGAAUUGACGGGGGCCCGCACAAGCGGUGGAGCAUGUGGUUUAAUUCGAAGCAACGCGAAGAACCUUACCAGGUCUUGACAUCCUCUGACAACCCUAGAGAUAGGGCUUUCCCUUCGGGGACAGAGUGACAGGUGGUGCAUGGUUGUCGUCAGCUCGUGUCGUGAGAUGUUGGGUUAAGUCCCGCAACGAGCGCAACCCUUGAUCUUAGUUGCCAGCAUUUAGUUGGGCACUCUAAGGUGACUGCCGGUGACAAACCGGAGGAAGGUGGGGAUGACGUCAAAUCAUCAUGCCCCUUAUGAC